rnacentral:lncRNA from 1 species
UGGUACAGAUAUGGGGAUAAAAGGAAUCUUUUUCUGCUAUUAAGUUUAUCAGAAAAGCCCCAAUAGUUAAAUAUUUGUUUUCAGUAGAGGGUAUAAUAAGGGAAAAUUAUAUAACAUUAUAUGCCAAAUAGGAAACUGAUCUUGGUUGGAAAUAAAGUUGUAGGAAGAAAAGCUAGCCAAUUAGUGGCUGAGUAGAGGGGACUGCCUGUCGGUGGGGCUUCAUAUCAUCAACAAGAAGUGUGCUAGCCUUCUUGGCUCCUCAUUUCUUUUCUUCCUGGAAUCCCCAGUACUGCUUUUAGCCUUCUGUAACCACUGCCUUCUUGGAGGACCUGCCUCAGGCUAUGAUAGCUUGUUACGUGACUUAGAGCCUUAGCAGUUCUCUGCCUGUCCUACUGCUGUGGGAAAGGAAGUGUGUUUUUAUAAUGCUUCUCAGUUGAAAGUCUUUCCUAGUGUAAGCAUUGCUAUUUUAUUUGUAAUACUUAGGUUCGGUAAGUAAUACCUAUCUUAAAUCCUUUUAGAACAGAGAUACUAGUACAUUCUACUAAUAAUCAGUUAAAAUUAUCCUUCCCCCAUUCUCUAUCCCUUUACCCAGCUUUGUUUUUCACCAUAGCAUAUAUCAUUAUCUAUA